rnacentral:rRNA from 1 species
GACGGAGGAUGCAAGCGUUAUCCGGAAUUAUUGGGCGUAAAGCGUCCGCAGGUGGACAUACAAGUCUGCUGUCAAAGUGCAGAGCUUAACUCUGUAAAGGCGGUGGAAACUGUAGGUCUUGAGUAUGGUAGGGGUAGAGGGAAUUCCCGGUGUAGCGGUGAAAUGCGUAGAUAUCGGGAAGAACACCAGUGGCGAAAGCGCUCUACUGGGCCAUAACUGACACUGAGGAGCGAAAGCGUGGGGAGCGAACAGG